UCAGACUACUCAAGAUUUGUCUUUUCUCUUGUUCUUGGUACAUCCCAUCCCCUGCUCGACCAGUCCCUGCUUCACUCACAUGACUAUCCAAUCCUCUUAAUUAUAGGGCUUAGUUAGCCCUGGUAACGGAUGAGUCCACCUGGUGUCAGUUCCCCUAUAAAUGGCAGCCUCCCUCUCCCUGAAUAGCGAAGACUGCUGCCAUGUUCUGCCCACCUCUGUCACACACAACGGGGUGUCACUCCAGGACUCUUCAUUUCCUAAAUGAGCCAACAUUUGGGAUCAGUCCCAUUUUUCACUGAUCCUGUAAAGUGCACCAUUUCCAAGAAGCCCUAGAGAUGUGGAAAGAUAAGAAUGUGAAUGUGUUAAAACUUCUUUUGAGAAAAAAGAAUGAGAUGCUACAAAAGGUCUGAUGUUGGUGACGCAUGAAGCCUGGCCAUAAGCUGUGACUUCCCCAGGCACCUGGAAGUAAAAGGAAGGACGUUUCAUCUGAGGGUGAAUCUAAUAAAAAUCCACACCUAAUGGAUACAAUUAAGCAACCAAGAAAUUGUCAAUGUGCGAUU